rnacentral:rRNA from 1 species
UACGAAGGGGGCUAGCGUUGCUCGGAAUCACUGGGCGUAAAGCGCACGUAGGCGGCUUGUUAAGUCAGGGGUGAAAUCCUGGAGCUCAACUCCAGAACUGCCUUUGAUACUGGCGAUCUCGAGUCCGGGAGAGGUGAGUGGAACUGCGAGUGUAGAGGUGAAAUUCGUAGAUAUCGGGAGGAACACCUGUGGCGAAAGCGGCUCACUGGACCAUAACUGACGCUGAGGCACGAAAGCGAGGGGAGCAAACAGG